rnacentral:lncRNA from 1 species
CUCUAAAAUGCCAUGAUAACUUCCUUGAGACUUGCUGCCGAAGUUAACCAAGAAGAGGAGUGACUUCCACACGGAAAAGACUUCUUUAAAGCACUAGGGCUCUGGCUGUACCCCGAAUGAGCUGCUGAGGACGGAGCUGGCUAUCUUGGACAAACUGCACUGGGACCUCUGUAUUGCGACGCCACUGGACUUCUUGACCACAAAUGGAAACAUUGUCAUCUAAGUACUUGAAACUCAUAAUGACCAUGUAACGAAGCAGAUUGUCUUUUCUCCCCAAGGGUGAAGCUGAGCUUGGUCACAAAAUGAGCAUUAAGCCUCAAGUCCCUUGGGGGGCCCUGGAUGGGAAUGAAAAGUGUGGG